UCUGCACUCAACACCACUUGCCACAACGUUAGGCAAUGAUGGAUGUCCUGAUCAUGGUCAACCUGAAACCUUUAUGAGGUAGCAGCAACCUCCUCUAGCCCCUGCCUAAUGGCAGCCACAGUCUGCUCUCUGCUGGGGACGGUGGCUUCCAUAAGAUGCUUCCAUUUCUCUGUGUCUUUGCAAGUUGCUUGUCCUCCUACCGAUGGUCCCAAGAUGUCAUGGCACCAGACAUAGGGAAUCUGUGUGAGUGAUGUCGAUGGUCUGUCUGUCCAGCUUGUCCCUAAAUUGAACCCAAGAAGAGAAGGAUCCUAGAAUCAUCAUUUUGCUGGGACAUCAUCUGUGUUCCACGCCUUGUGGAACACAUUUCUCUCUUCUGUCUGACUUGUCCUCUGAGCAACACUAAGCUCAUAGGAAGAUAUUUUUUUUUUACCUAAUCCGAGAAGAAAGGUGUGACUUAUUCCACUUUGAGGUGGAAAUAGCACCCUAUAACCCAACGCUUUCCAAACCACCAUCUACUAUUCUGGCAAAGGAGAUUCCCCAGGAUCCUAUGCUGGUCUUAGUCACUGUACCAGGCUGAGCUGCUCAAGAGAGCUCAGCAGGACCUCUCAGGAGUUUCUGUCUAGCGGUUUGGAGAUCUGGCUUGCCAUUCUGUUCAAAGUAAUGCGACUACACUGUUCGCCUGCUCCCAUCCACUGGAAUAUGCACUUUUGUUUCGGGACCAGUCUUUCUACUCAGAGUCUUCUGAAGUACCACAAACAUGAGUUGUAGCAGGACGCCACUCUUCUUCUAAGCUGCUCCGUGGGACAGAUGGAAGGACACCAGUGCAUGUCCACAUGUGCAGCUGAUGACCCUAGGAAGAUGGAGCCUCACCCCCACAGUUUGAAGGUUUAGUCUCCUUCACCCAUGGGGUCUCACUCUCUCACAUUUGCCCUUUCUAGACACUUGGUGGAUUUUUCUUAAAACUAGAUGCCAGAGCCAGGGUGAGGGUGUGUGCCGAUAAUCCCGGGACUUUGGAGGCUUAGAUUGGAGAGUAGCCAUAGACUCAAGGCCAUCCUGGGUAAUAUAAGGAACAGUAAUCUAGCUUGGUUGCAGUGUGAGAUCUCUCUCUUUAAAAACUGAGAGUGAACAACAGGACUAGUGUCGGUGUGUCCAUCGUGCACAUAGGUUCUUGUUCCUGGGUUCUUGCCCAGCACAAAAUCAAACCAGGUGGAGCUUGCCUGGUAUUGGGGUUGGAGACAAGAGGAUCAGGCAGUCAAGGUAUGUUCCAACACAAAGAUUGAAGCCAGUGUGGGAGGAAUGACACUAUUUUAAAGAAACAAUCCCUACUCUCAAAUCUUAAUGCCCAUAUCUAAGAAAACAAUGACAUGGCAUCCCAUCACAACCGCAUAUUCCUUGUGAAUCUGAAUACCGUUCAAAUGGAGAAAUGAAAACGGAGCAUCCAGAUGUGCAGUGAAUAUUUUGUGUGACUCACAUCAGGAAUUGGCCUGAGCAUUGAGUUCAUCCCUUGUGCACUGCACUGAGGAGCUGUUCGGUAAGUAUUGAUCAUGUGGGAGGUGUGUGGAGGGAGGUUUGGAGGCUAUGGGGAACCCAGCCUGUGUCAAUAAGUAAGAAUGCAGCCAGCUCUUGAAGCUGUGAGACUCUCUGAUGUUGUGCUACCCCUUUUGGUCCUUCUCUACCAGCUCCGUGUCAUUAGUGCACCUGAUUUGCUGCAGUCCCUGCUUCAACUCAGGCCACAACUGGGUUGGUUAGGUGAGUUUCUGAUUGGGGUGGAGGGACGCUUGCCCUUUAAACCUAUCUGACAUACUUUUGUUCUUCCUUAUUUCUUUCCCCCUUUCCCAUUUAUCAUAAUAAAGAAACAAACAGCUUUCAAACCUGGGCUACCCAGGCAAUGUCCCUGAAAAAAUGUCAUACAUAGAGAGCUGCUUCUCCUGGACCUGGUCUCCACAAUGAGGAUGACUGGGUGGCUGGUCAAGAAUGAAAUUCACACCAGGGCGAGAUUCAGAAUCACAAGAGGGCUGGCAACAUGUCUGUCUGUCCACUGAGUGCUUGUUUCCCUUGUGAGAUGUGAGUACAUUCCCCAGCAAGCAUGGGAAAGAAGCAGCAGGCCUGCUGAGGCUUGCUACCAAGCACUUGGACAUAGAGACAAAGCUUGAGACUAGGCAGACGGCCUGGCACAAGGGGAAAUGAAUAUCACCUUCAUCAAUUCUACUAACAUCCCCCC
rnacentral:lncRNA from 1 species